GCUCUCGUAGCUUAAUGGAUAGAGCACCUGCUUGCGGAGCAGACGGUUGCGUGUUCGAAUCACGCCGAGAGCA
rnacentral:tRNA from 2 species